GACAGAGGUGCCAAGCGUUAGGCGGGAUCACUGGGCUUAAAGCGUGUGUAGGCGGAUCGUUAAGUACCUUGUGAAAUCCCACGGCUCACCCGUGGAACUGCUCGGUAUACUGGCGGUCUUGAGCCACUUAGGGCUGUCGGAACAGACGGUGGAGCGGUGAAAUGCGUAGAUAUCGUCUGGAACGCCAAUGGUGAAAACAGACAGCUGGGAGCGUGCUGACGCUGAGACACGAAAGCCAGGGGAGCGAACGGG
rnacentral:rRNA from 1 species